UUUGCUUUUUAGUCUUUUGGGUAAGAUCAAGUGUAGUAUCUGCUCUUACCAGUUAGAUAUCUGAUAUGUCCCCUAUCCGAAGACAAUUUAUUAAAUGGAUUUUUGGAAUUAGAGCUUGGAUUGGGAGCUUGCUCUGUCCAUGCUACACAUCGAUCUGGUAUUGUAGUACCUCCAGGAAUGGUGUAUCAAAG